AGUGAACGCUGGCGGUAGGCCUAACACAUGCAAGUCGAACGGCAGCACAGAGGAGCUUGCUCCUUGGGUGGCGAGUGGCGGACGGGUGAGGAAUACAUCGGAAUCUACUCUGUCGUGGGGGAUAAGGUAGGGAUACUUACGCUAAUACCGCCAAAGAACUACGGGUGAAAGCAGGGGACAUUCGGGCCUUGCGCGAUUGAAUGAUGCGGUUUAGGAUUAGCUAGUUGGCGGGGUAAAGGACCACAAAGGCGACGAGCCGAAGCUGGUCUGAGAGGAUGAUCAGCCACACUGGAACUGAGACACAGUCCAGACUCCUACGGGAGGCAGCAGUGGGGAAUAUUGGACAAUGGGCGCAAGCCUGAUCCAGCCAUACCGCGUGGGUGAAGAAGGCCUUCGGGUUGUAAAGCCCUUUUGUUGGGAAAGAAAUCCAGCUGGCUAAUACCCGGUUGGGAUGACGGUACCCAAAGAAUAAGCACCGGCUAACUUCGUGCCAGCCGCCGCCGUAA
rnacentral:rRNA from 1 species